rnacentral:lncRNA from 1 species
CUCAGACAGACAGGUGAGACAGACAGACAUUCUACCUGUCUACAGCUCAGUACUCAGACAGACAGACAUUCUACCUGCUCAGUACUCAGACAUUCUACCUGUCUACCUGCUCAGUACUCAGACAGACAGGUGAGACAGACAGACAUUCUACCAGCUCAGUACUCAGACAGACAGAUAUUCUACCUGCUCAGUACUCAGACAGACAGACAUUCUACCAGCUCAGCACUCAGACAGACAGACAGACAGACAGACAGACAGACAGACAGACAGACAUUCUACCUGCUCAGUACUCAGACAGACAUACAUUCUACCUGCUCAGUACUCAGACAGACAGACAUUAUACCUGCUCAGUACUCAGACAGACAGGUGAGACAGACAGACAUUCUACCUGCUCAGUACUCAGACAGACAGACAGACAGACAGACAGUUGAGAGAGAGAGACAUUCUGCCUGCUCAGUACUCAGACAGACAGACAUUCUACCUGCUCAGUACUCAGACAGACAGACAUUCUACCAGCUCAGUACUCAGACAGACAGACAGACAGACAUUCUACCUGCUCAGUUCUC